GCAAGUGAUGAAUCACCCUGGCCUCCUGAUGAUGACAUGGAACCAGAGUGCAGCUUCACAGCAGCAAGAUUUCAAGCAGUUGAUACUGAUGCUACGUUUCUCCAAGAAGGUUGUCAGAGGUGAAGAGGAGACAGAAUUUGAAUGGUGGAAGAAAGAACAAGAGAGGCGUCUGGAGAUGAGUGACAUCCCCUACAUGGAUGACAACUACGUCACUUUGAUUUGAGAGCUUUGCACUCAUGUGUUAUGGACCUUUAGUUAACUGCAUGUUUAUUUCUUGUUUGAACACUUAAAUCAGUUUUAUGAAAGUUUCCCUGUUAUGUAUACCCCCAUUUUUCCCUUUUCUGAUUGGUUCAAAUUCUCUGCAUUGCUGCAAGUCCUUAUAACAUUAUGACCCUCCCAGUAUAGCAAUGUACCAACCCCUUUAUUCCUUUUAUGUACCUCAUUUGCAUGCUCCUCCCUAGUUCCUCCCCUUUUUCCAGACCCUUCCAUUCCAACCUUAUAUAAACCGGUGCAUUCUUAAUAUAGCGACCAUUUUCCCUCAA